GAAGUGGGCCCGGCGGUCGCUGCCGCGAUACCAUCCGCCGAAGCCUCGGCGGAGGCGGACAGGUCGCGGUGGAGGAAAGUCCGGACACCACAGGGCAGGGUGCUUGGCAACACCAAGGCGGGGCGACCCGACGGAAAGUGCCACAGAAAACACACGGCCGAUGGUUCCCCUCGGGGAGCACAGGCAAAGGUGAAAAGGUGCGGCAAGAGCGCACCGGUCCCCCGGUGACGGGGGGCGUCAUGGCAAACCCCACCCGGUGCAAGGCCAAAUAGGGGGAGAGCGGUGGCCCGCCGCGAUGCCCGCCGAAGCCUUGGCGAAGGCGGGUGAGAUCCCCGGGUGGGCCGCUCGAGGCGCGCGGUGACGUGCGUCCCAGAGGAAUGACCGCCCUCGACAGAAUCCGGCUUAUGGGCUCACUUCCAUU
rnacentral:RNase_P_RNA from 1 species